rnacentral:rRNA from 1 species
UUUGUAACACAAAGAUUUUUAAUUUUAUUUCUAAGAGUGAUAUGUUAAUUGAGUUCUCUAAUAUCUAGUUUCUUGGGAGGUAAAUUAAAUUUAGCUUUUCUAUAAAGUUUAUGGAAAAAGUAAUGAUAGGGGGGAUUAGCUCUUUAUCACAUAAUUUUAUAAGGAGAAUAAGCAUAUAAAUUGAACUAGGCUUAAAAUUAGCUAUGUUAAUAAAGUGUUAUAAAUAAUAUUAAAGCUAUAAAUUAUUUAUAUAUCCUUUAAAUUCAUAUCAAGAAUUAAUUUCAAAUUUUAUUUAAUUAGGUAUAAUGAGUGUAUUAGUAUAUGGUAUAGUGAAAGGAAAGAAUGUUAAAUGGAAACGAGAUUUUAUAUUUAUUAAAAUAUUUUUAAGGAAUUCGGCAAAUAAAUUAUUUCUGCCUGUUUAACAAAAACAUGUCUAUAUGAAUGAGAUAUAAAGUCUAGCCUGCCCAUUGGAGUCUAAAAGGCCGCGGUAUUAUGACCGUGCUAAGGUAGCAUAAUCAUUAGUCUUUUAAUUGAAGGCUGGAAUGAAUGGUUGGACAAGAAAUAAGCUGUCUUAAAUAAAAAUAUUGAACUUAACUUUUAAGUGAAAAGGCUUAAAUUUUCUAAAGGGACGAUAAGACCCUAUAAAACUUUAUAUUUAAAAAUAAUUGCUAUUAUUAUUUAAAGAGUUUAUUUUUAAAUAUUUUAUUGGGGUGAUAAGGAUAAAAUAUAAGACAACUGUCUUUUAUUUUAACAAUAAUUUUUGAGUAAAUGAUCUUAAUAAAGGAAUAAAAGAUUAAGUUACUUUAGGGAUAACAGCGUAAUUUUCUUUGAGAGUUCUUAUCGACAAGAAAGUUUGCGACCUCGAUGUUGAAUUAAAAGUUCUUUAUAGAGUAGAGACUAUAUUAGAAGGUCUGUUCGACCUUUAAAAUUUUACAUGAUUUGAGUUCAGACCGGUGUGAGCCAGGUUGGUUUCUAUCUUUUAGGAAGGAAUUAAUUGUUUUAGUACGAAAGGAUUAAAUAAUUAGAAAAUUUUUUAUUAUU